UGCUAAUACAUGCAAGUCGAACGAGUUCUGAUUAUUGAAAGGUGCUUGCAUCUUGAUUUAAUUUUGAACGAGUGGCGGACGGGUGAGUAACACGUGGGUAACCUGCCCUUAAGUGGGGGAUAACAUUUGGAAACAGAUGCUAAUACCGCAUAAAUCCAAGAACCGCAUGGUUCUUGGCUGAAAGAUGGCGUAAGCUAUCGCUUUUGGAUGGACCCGCGGCGUAUUAGCUAGUUGGUGAGGUAACGGCUCACCAAGGCAAUGAUACGUAGCCGAACUGAGAGGUUGAUCGGCCACAUUGGGACUGAGACACGGCCCAAACUCCUACGGGAGGCAGCAGUAGGGAAUCUUCCACAAUGGACGCAAGUCUGAUGGAGCAACGCCGCGUGAGUGAAGAAGGCUUUCGGGUCGUAAAACUCUGUUGUUGGAGAAGAAUGGUCGGCAGAGUAACUGUUGUCGGCGUGACGGUAUCCAACCAGAAAGCCACGGCUAACUACGUGCCAGCAGCCGCGGUAAUACGUAGGUGGCAAGCGUUAUCCGGAUUUAUUGGGCGUAAAGCGAGCGCAGGCGGUUUUUUAAGUCUGAUGUGAAAGCCCUCGGCUUAACCGAGGAAGUGCAUCGGAAACUGGGAAACUUGAGUGCAGAAGAGGACAGUGGAACUCCAUGUGUAGCGGUGAAAUGCGUAGAUAUAUGGAAGAACACCAGUGGCGAAGGCGGCUGUCUGGUCUGUAACUGACGCUGAGGCUCGAAAGCAUGGGUAGCGAACAGGAUUAGAUACCCUGGUAGUCCAUGCCGUAAACGAUGAAUGCUAGGUGUUGGAGGGUUUCCGCCCUUCAGUGCCGCAGCUAACGCAUUAAGCAUUCCGCCUGGGGAGUACGACCGCAAGGUUGAAACUCAAAGGAAUUGACGGGGGCCCGCACAAGCGGUGGAGCAUGUGGUUUAAUUCGAAGCAACGCGAAGAACCUUACCAGGUCUUGACAUCUUUUGAUCACCUGAGAGAUCAGGUUUCCCCUUCGGGGGCAAAUGACAGGUGG
rnacentral:rRNA from 1 species